UAGCCAAGAGUCCGUGAGCGCGCGCGUGCCCCGCUCACCGUUAAGCCGCCGGCCCGGUCCGUUGCUGUGCGCCUGUGCGACACACACACCGCCACCGCUCCGCCGCGGCCGCCCGCUCACUUGUGAACGAGCCAACCCCCGUCAGUACGUGCCAGUCUCACGCCGUUCCCGUACGCCAGUGUGUGUGUGUCCGACUGAAAAGCCGCAUCGUCCGAUCGUCGGUGUGCCCCCAAUUAGCUCGGUACCAACUGGUCGACGGUGUCCCACACGUUCGUCCGCUCCACAGCUCCGAAACAAACCCGAAUGGCGUAUCUGCGGCCGUUGAUCAGAUGCGGCCUGCGUACGAAGUGCAGGGGGGCCGCCGGUCCGCCGGUCUGGCAGCCGUCGGCGGCCAUGAAGUCGACGGUGUCGCAGACGGCGGUCGCCGCCCCUGCACAGGACGCCAAGUCGCCGAAGGACGCGCUCGACAUCACGUUCGAGGACGCCAGGGCGGCGUUCAAGAGCAAAACGAACUGGGAACUGAUACGUGCCUACAUCGUCUACACGAUGUGCUCGUUCGAGACGAUCGUCGACAAUAACAUGAAGCUGAUGAAGCUGGCCAAGGGGGUGCUGGGCGAGCGGCUGUUCAUUACCAUGAUGAAGGCAACGUUCUACGGCCACUUCGUGGCCGGCGAGGACCAGUACAAAAUCCGACCGACGCUGGAGAGGUUACGCAGCUUCGGCGUCAAGCCCAUCCUCGAUUACUCGGUGGAGGAGGACCUGUCGCAGGAGGAGGCCGAGAAACGUGAAGUCGAGGCUUCGGUGCCGGAGGCCGGCGACAAGGUGGAGGACGGGUCGAUCAAACAGUACCAUGUGGACAAGACGUUCGCGGACAGACGGUACAAGGUGCAGUCGGCCAGGACGUACUUCUAUUUGAACGAGGCCACGUGCGAGAGGAACAUGGAGACCUUCAUCAAGUGUCUGGAGGCGAUCGCAGAUUUCCAGAAAGGGGGUCCAGGUGCCACAUACGGCACCGGCAUCACAGCCAUUAAACUAACGGCGUUGGGACGGCCCCAGCUAUUGCUUCAAUUGUCCGAAGUGAUAAUGAGGACGCGUCAGUACAUGACCGAAAUAAUGGGCGGCGAGGGCAACGUGCUGAGCCACCACGUCACACCCGAGGACCUCGAGAAGAAGUUCCAUUCCAUAUCCGACAAGGAGUCGCUGAAAAAGUUCCUAAAGCAGAUCACCUACGACAAGCAAGGCAUCCUUCACCUGUUCCCCUGGUCGGGCAUCAUCGACGAAAAUCAGGAGCUGAGCAACACGUUCCGCGUGCCGGACCUCAAGACCGGCCGCAUGGCCCGUCUCAUCACCCAACUCUCCACGAAAGAGGAGGAGAUGUUCAGGAAUAUGAUCCGCAGAGUCAACACCAUCGUUAAGGCAGCACAAGACAUGGACGUCCGCAUAAUGGUCGACGCCGAACAGACGUACUUCCAGCCGGCGAUCACGCGUAUCACCCUCGAAUUCAUGCGCAAGUACAACAAGGAGAAGGCCAUCGUGUUCAACACCUACCAGUGUUACCUCAGGAACGCGCUGACGGAGGUCACCACCGAUCUCGAACAGGCCAAACGUCAGAACUUCUAUUUCGGCGCCAAACUGGUGCGCGGCGCCUACCUCGAGCAAGAGAGGGCGCGCGCCGCCGCCAUGGGCUACCCCGAUCCGACGAACCCGAACUUCGAGGCCACCUCCGACAUGUACCACAAAACGCUGACCGAAUGUCUGCGGCGCAUCAAGGCGUUCAAGGACAAGGGUGAGGACAAGAAGAUCGCCAUCAUGGUGGCGUCCCACAACGAGAACACCGUACGAUUCGCCAUCGAGAAGAUGCGGGAGUACUCCAUCGAACCGAGUGACAAGGUGAUCUGUUUCGGCCAACUGUUGGCCAUGUGCGACUACAUCACAUUCCCGCUAGGUCAAUCCGGGUAUUCGGCGUACAAAUACAUACCUUACGGUCCCGUGAACGAAGUGUUGCCAUACUUGUCCAGGAGGGCGCACGAAAAUAAGGGCGUGCUGAAGAAGAUCAAGAAGGAGAAGAGACUACUGGCGAAGGAAAUUGUCAGGCGCCUCGCCACCGGCAAGCUCAUCUACACGCCCAAAGGAAACUAUACUCCCGUUUAAAUUGUUAUUUAAUGAAAAUUACCGAAAAUGUACUUUUAAAUGUUGUCUAAAAAGUUAGGACAAACGACGACAAGAGUAGAAUAAGUAGUUUAUAAUUAAAAAAAAGACAGUCCAACUAAAAAUUAUGAAAACCUUAUAUUUAUCCAUCUGCGUGAAAUACUGAUUCGUUGUAUUUGUUUUAAAAAAAAAUAAGUAAUGGACUCCCUGUGAAUGUGGCCUAUUAGAUCUUUGAAGUUUCCUUGUAAAAAAAAAAUGGUUUUUAACUUUAAUUUUUGUGGACAUAAAAAAAAGGCUGAUAAUGUGGUGACAAUACGCGUGUGGCGCCGGCGAAAUAAAACCGUCCCCCGUCGACGCUUUUAUUCCGCCGCACAGUUAUGGGACGCAGAAUCACGACGCAAGCACACUCACACACACGCGCAGAGAUUCGGAUGGAGCGACGCCCGAAACUGCUUUAGUAUUAAAGUAAUUAAACGUUAGUUAGAUGGAAAUUGUGUACAGAAUAUGCGUGGAUGUGGUGAUGAGAGGGCCGCUUUCGUCCCGGCGUUCGCUUCCCGCCCAAAAGCCGCCCCACCCCGCCGUUUGUACAAUGUAUUAUAUGUUUUUUGAUCUGUUCAGGGCGGGCGUUGAAGUUUUUAGGACAACGGUGGAAUUUUUAUGGUCGACGCAUAAAAAUUUCGACCCUUUGCCGGUUGACUUCUUCGUUUCGUGCCUGCGGCGUCAGUUAUUACUAUUGACAGGGCGAAAACCGAGUCAAUUAAUUUGUUGAUAGUAACGGCUGAUUGUGUUUAAUUUAUUGUUUUUGUUUCCCUCCUGUAUUAUUUUUUUUUUUUUUGCUUAAAUAGUGUCUGUGAUUUUUUUCUAGAUUUUUACAUGAAUCUGCGUUAAUUUUUUGGUGUGAUUGCAAAAUAAAACACUAUACGAUUCAUUUGUUUGAGUUUGAACCUUUGUUUAGAUCCAGCAACGUUAUUAUUAUAGUCAUGAAAGUGAACAUAGCGAAUAGAUUUUAGUUUACUAAAAUAUGAUUAUUUUUUGGCGUUUGGAAAGCUGUUGUGCACCUUUAUAAUUUUAAUGAAACUCUUAUGGAUUCAAAUUGUUCAGACAAUAAAUUGCAAGUGAAUAAAUGUUGAUAAAUGUUUAA